rnacentral:piRNA from 1 species
AGCCGGGCGUUGGUGGCGCAAGCCUUU